rnacentral:rRNA from 1 species
UACGAAGGGGGCGAGCGUUGUUCGGAUUUACUGGGCGUAAAGGGCGCGCAGGCGGUCUUGAAAGUCAGGCGUGAAAGCCCCGGGCUUAACCUGGGGAAUUGCGCUUGAUACUCUGAGACUGGAGUACGGGAGAGGAGAGUGGAAUUCCCAGUGUAGAGGUGAAAUUCGUAGAUAUUGGGAAGAACACCAGUGGCGAAGGCGGCUCUCUGGACCGUAACUGACGCUGAGGCGCGAAAGCGUGGGGAGCAAACAGG